AGGCAACUAACGCACAUCGUCAGCAUCCUGCUUACUUAUUCAUACAGGCAGGGUCAGGAUCCGGGCUGCUGCCGAUCCGCUCCCCCGAUAGUCCUACAGCAACACGCGCGUUCACCGGCCGCCCCUAUCUCCGGAGAGCUCUCUCUAGAUAAGCGGUGCGCGGCAUUUAGACAACAAAAGAAGCCAGAUCAAAUCAAACAACGCGCGGCUCGGCUCCCGGCAGCCAAAAAGCCCGAGGACAGAGAGAAGGGGUGAUGGAGGAGGAGGAGAGGGAUCAGCUGCGAUGGAGGGGACGGGGAAGCAGCGCGGUGCUGGUGUGCUGCUCCCCGUGCCGGCGGCUUCGCAGCGUGAGCCCCAUGGGCGGGCGGGGGGUGAGGGAGCGGGGGGGAGGGGGAGAGAGAAAAGUUUAAGCGCCCAUAGUUUGCUUAAAACAGAGAAAGGCGAUUUAAAGGUCCAUCGCUCUGCAGAAGUUCGGCCAAGCAGCUGGGAACCGGCUCCAAAAUGAAAGUAAAAACAAACAAACAAACAGAAGGAAAAAAAAAAUCGAGGCAAAAAAUAAAAAAAGUUAAUCUGAGAUCUCUCAGCCGGACUUUCCUGUCCUCACGUGGAUCGCCGGGAAAGCGGUGGAGGUUUCUCUCCCCAGCGAAGUUUCCGCGCCGCUCCGCACCGUCCCGCUGAGCGCCCCGAGCCGCGCGGGGCCGGCGCCGCUUUAAAGCCCGAGGAGGGAUCAGCGCGCAAAGCUGCCUUCAGCCGAUCAACCUGGGGAGGGAGGGAGCGAGGGGGAGGGCGGAGGGUGGAGAUACACUGCUGCUGCUGGAAUAAAAUAAGAUCGAGCGAAAAAAAAAAAAAGUGUGUGUAUAUAUAGGUAGCUAAAGAGCUCCCUGCCUCCUCCCCUCCCCCGAGGCGGGCAGCUCCGGUCCUGCAGAACUGUCUGAAACGGUUUCAGACCAAGGCCCAUGCACUUCACUGCAACAACAGAAACACCCUCAGUCCAACAAGCAUCCUCAUUAGUCAGCACUGCUGCAGAAACACUGACUUUUCCAACUGCUCUGCAGCCAGAGAAGAAGUGUACAACAUGUGAUCCAUGCCCAUCUCCCAGCAAGCUCACAACUCUGAUAAUCCAUCUGACAACACAGUCAAUCAAAAAUCCAUCCUACAGCCGUUUCCAAAGAAACGAACACGUGGACAGAAGGCCAGAAUGCUGAGCUGGAAGGCAACCAACCGAAGGAACACAACAGCAACAACAAGGACUCUGAGCAUCUUCUCUAUUCCUUUAGGUUUCCUGGUUAGGAGAAUAUCACAGGGACACAGAUAAUGGUAAAUGAAGUUGUGUGACGAGUGGCAGAGAUAUUUUAUUUUGUAUCCUGGAAGCUGGAGGCUUUUCUGCUCUUCCCACACAAACAAAGAGAUUUUUUUAAAAAGGACAAGAAAAACACACACACAAUCACAGACCUAAAAAAAAAAAAAUCCACAUCUGAAACACGGUUGCUCACACCUCCUCCUCAUUCUUUGGCUAUCUGUCUCCUGUUUAGGCCUUGAUCCCGUAGACAGUCUGAGGUGGGUGGACACAAUAGGCUUAUUCACAAGCAUCGAGCUCAGCACAUGCUGACGGCUGUGAAGGCUGGAGACCAUUUCUGCUCUGCUCCUGGGGCCUGCAGCACUGCUCCAGAGGCCAGCACAGAGAAGCUCAGAGGGAGCUCGUUACUUUCCUGCUUUUAUCUGCUGAUAAGCCUAUUGCUUUUCCCAACGGUGCCUGUAACACUUCUGAAACAGCCAAAGCUAUGUUGAAGGAGUCCCCGAUUCUCCAAAUUAUUCAUUAGGGAAGAUAUAUACCGAAGAAAUAAUAUUAACCAAAACCAAACUUUUGAGGUUAAAAAACAAGCAGUCAUUAUCUUAGCAGCAAGAAUCUCACCUGUGAAAUCUAUUUUCUCCAUUCUCUCUCAUAUCUACUUACAUAUUAUGAAAUAGUUUUUCAUUCUAUAUCCAUAUACAACUUUUUUUCUACAGAUCCCUCUGCUGAAUUAACAAGAAGCCCUUCAGUGUUAUGUUUUCUGUUUGUGUUUUUUUUUUUUUUCCUGAAAGCACAGCCAACGCUUUGUUCACCACACAGUUUUUCAGAUCCUACUCUGCAUGUAGAGUUAUUAAGUCUCCUCACCAUUGCAUUUCAGUGACAGAGGAGGGACAGAGAACUUUGGGUUUAAUCCCAAGAUCUGUGAGAGGGCACUUUUUAAUAGCACACUCCCAUCUGCUUGUUCCCUGAGUCCCUGUUUUGUUUUAUCUUUGUUUGUUAUUUCUAACCUGUAUUCAUUCUCUCCUCAUUCUUGGCUCUUCAACUCAGCGUUGUUUUUCUUAUCUUGCUAUUGCUAGUGUCUGAUUCUCAUCACUGUUCCAACUGUCCUAGUUGCACUCUUCUUUAAUCUUAUUCUGGGACUCCUCACUCUCUGAGAUGCACAUUCAACUGUGCAAUUUCUUGUUUGUUUCUUUUCACUCUCGUUCUCUAGCUGAUCCUUUUCUUAUGAAUUCUC
rnacentral:lncRNA from 1 species